GCCUUCUUAGCUCAGUGGUAGAGCGCGUCACUAGUACUGGCUUUAAAUAGCGAGUGCGGUUGACAUGACGAGGUCAGUCGUUCAAGUCGGCUAGGAGGCA